GGGUGAAAGAAGAUCUUAAAACAAGAACGAAGCAGACAACUGAGCAGCUUUACAAGCAUGUCGAUGGUGUUUGGACGGAAGCUGAAGCUACGGCAAAAAAGGUUUAUGCCAAUGUGGAGGAAAAAAUAUCUGCUACUAAAGAGGAGGUCAGGUCAAGCUUUCGGACGGGGAAGGAAGAAACUCCAGGAUCAAGUGGUCAUUCAGAUACUUCUGGUAAAAAUACCAAUGAGAGUAGUGAGUCUGCAUCAGCAAAAACUCAACAGGAACAGCAGCAGCAGCAACAAUCUUUUUCCAGUGAUAAUGCAGAAACAGUUUUUAGCAAGGUUAAGUCUGCUGCUUCAUCCUUAUCAUCAAAAGUCUCACCAGCCAUCCAAAAAAUAAAAGAAGCAAAGCCUGUUGACUUAGCCAAGAAGGGAUAUGGCAUUAUAUUGGAUGAAUUGAAAGGUACUCCAGGUAAGAGAAAGCGCCUCGAACAUUCUGCUCCUACACAAGAAACUUCAUCAAACUUCGAGAGGAGCACAAGGACUGAUGUUGCUGUCUUACCGUCAAAGCAGUCGAAGUGGAAUAAGAAAUGGGAGGCACUCAAGGAAAAGAUGCAAGGUCACCCUGUGUUUAAGCGCUUCACUGGCAUGAGUGAACCUGUUGUAACAAAAAGCCAGGAGAUUGCAGAAGAUAUUCGUGAGAGAUGGGAAACAAGUGAUCAUCCCGUUGUUCAUAAAAUCCAAGAUAUAAAUGAAACUGUGUUUGGAGAAUCAACAGCUGCUUUGUCAUUUAAAGAGAUCCGCCGCAGAGAUCCGUCAUUCUCUUUACCUGAAUUUGUUGCUGAGGUUCAAGAAGUGAUUCGGC
rnacentral:misc_RNA from 1 species